CCUACGGGAGGCAGCAGUAGGGAAUCUUCCACAAUGGGCGCAAGCCUGAUGGAGCAACGCCGCGUGGGUGAAGAAGGCCUUCGGAUCGUAAAACCCUGUUGUUAGAGAAGAAAGUGCGUGAGAGUAACUGUUAACGUUUCGACGGUAUCUAAACAGAAAGCCACGGCUAACUACGUGCCAGCAGCCGCGGUAAUACGUAGGUGGCAAGCGUUAUCCGGAUUGAUUGGGCGUAAAGGGGACGCAGGCGGUCUUUUAAGUCUGAUGUGAAAGCCUUCGGCUUAACCGGAGUAGUGCAUUGGAAACUGGGAGACUUGAGUGCAGAAGAGGAGAGUGGAACUCCAUGUGUAGCGGUGAAAUGCGUAGAUAUAUGGAAGAACACCAGUGGCGAAGGCGGCUCUCUGGUCUGUAACUGACGCUGAGGUUCGAAAGCGUGGGUAGCAAACAGGAUUAGAUACCCUUGUAGUC
rnacentral:rRNA from 1 species